GAUGAACGCUGGCGGCGUGCCUAAUACAUGCAAGUCGAGCGAACGGACGAGAAGCUUGCUUCUCUGAUGUUAGCGGCGGACGGGUGAGUAACACGUGGAUAACCUACCUAUAAGACUGGGAUAACUUCGGGAAACCGGAGCUAAUACCGGAUGAUAUUUUGAACCGCAUGGUUCAAAAGUGAAAGACGGUCUUGCUGUCACUUAUAGAUGGAUCCGCGCUGCGUUAGCUAGUUGGUAAGGUAACGGCUUACCAAGGCAACGAUGCAUAGCCGACCUGAGAGGGUGAUCGGCCACACUGGAACUGAGACACGGUCCAGACUCCUACGGGAGGCAGCAGUAGGGAAUCUUCCGCAAAGGGCGAAAGCCUGACGGAGCAACGCCGCGUGAGUGAUGAAGGUCUUCGGAUCGUAAAACUCUGUUAUUAGGGAAGAACAUAUGUGUAAGUAACUGUGCACAUCUUGACGGUACCUAAUCAGAAAGCCACGGCUAACUACGUG
rnacentral:rRNA from 1 species